CCUACGGGAGGCAGCAGUGGGGAAUAUUGGGCAAUGGGCGCAAGCCUGACCCAGCAACGCCGCGUGAAGGAAGAAGGCUUUCGGGUUGUAAACUUCUUUUGUCAGGGAAGAGUAGAAGACGGUACCUGACGAAUAAGCCACGGCUAACUACGUGCCAGCAGCCGCGGUAAUACGUAGGUGGCAAGCGUUGUCCGGAUUUACUGGGUGUAAAGGGCGUGUAGCCGGGUUGACAAGUCAGAUGUGAAAUCCUGCGGCUUAACCGCAGAACUGCAUUUGAAACUGUUGGUCUUGAGUACUGGGGAGGCAGAUGGAAUUCCUAGUGUAGCGGUGAAAUGCGUAGAUAUCAGGAGGAACACCAGUGGCGAAGGCGGUCUGCUAGACAGCAACUGACGGUGAGGCGCGAAAGCGUGGGGAGCAAACAGGAUUAGAUACCCGGGUAGUC
rnacentral:rRNA from 1 species